rnacentral:lncRNA from 14 species
AGCUCAUUACUCAAGAUAAAACUUGUGGUUUGCUUUAAUAAGGGAAUGUUAUUCCUAUGGCUUCCCCCCUAGUUAGUCUGCUGGCCAGAACUAUCAUGGAAGCCAAUGAAAGGAAAUGGAAGAUUCAGUCACAUCACAGGGACCAGCACAGGUUUCUGGACCUUGCCAAGAUGACCGAGAGGUCUCUACAAAAACUCAUCUUGUCAGUUUUGGAACAUCCUUUUGCUCUGUGAAGACUCCUCUGAUUUUUGAUCCCAUCUGUCCAAGUCCUUGCAAGCUCAGUGCCACCCACAACUUUUUCCUGCAGGGAACAGAACCUUGAGACCCCCAGAACUGGCAAGCAGAUGACACAAACCUACCCCUGCAGUUCUCACGUCGCCACCCGCUUGUCCUGCUGCCCCUGUGUUGUCCAGGAACCUGUCUCACUG